CCACUUUUGGGCUUCAAAAACGCUCUUCAGAAACCUACGGGUGACGUCACGGACACUACGUCCAUGUUUUUAUACAGUCUAUGGUUUGCGUUAAAAAAAUAGAGCAAAACGCGAAACGCAGCAUAGAGACAAGGGUAAACAUCGCAGGGUCUUGAGGCCGUUUCAUGCGAGGAAGGGAGCUGUUGUGUUACACAGGAGAAAUCUGAAUCCGACCAGACCCCAAACAUUGCUCAGGCCUUGGCAGUGACUCCAGUACACACACAGACUAUAGGAGUCACCCUUGAACUCUGUUGGUACUGCUUGAAAUCUCUCCCGAUUGAAGACCAAAACAUACCUCAGUUGCAGGCAGAAAGUGAGGAUCUAACACUGCCCCCCAGUGGUGAGCGUUUGCACUACCAGCGAGACCCCAGGCCUCAUUUUGGAGUAGCCCACUCCUCUCGCUCUGUGUCUUUCCCCCUGUGGGACAGUGAUAGGCCGAGGGAGAUGAAGAUGGGAGAGGAGGAAGAGGAGGAGGAGACCGUGGAAUCUGUCAGCUGUUGUCCUCACUGCCACCUUGGGCUGCCACGUGAUACACUACGCUGGCAUGAGGCAAAAUGUCUGUUGUUUGAUGGACAGAGAAACAGUUUGUCUUAAUAAAACUGAGCAACUGUCGCUCCGUCUGUUGAUGGCUACCUAAAAUAAGCUAUGAAAUUGUUGAUAUUUUUGUUCAGUCUUAUUUUACCUGUUCAAGUUUUAAUAUAUUUGUUCAGUAAUAUAUUGUAAACAAUUUAAGGACUGGCCUGUUUGAAAUAAUAGAAUUGCCUUUCAAUAAUACAGUAUUACUGUUCUUUGAGGUCAAGAACAGCACUCAACUGUUUCACUGUUUCCAAGCGUAAUCCAAUUAUUUAUUUCAGCAUUACAUUACAUGCUUUUUCAUUUGUCAGCAGUGAGGAAAUCGAACCUUUCAAGAGUCAUGGAUUUCUUGUCUUUACUAUUCACUGUGGUGCUUAUUUUAGUCAUACUAUUAUAUGUUUGAAAUGAUGCUACUGCAUUAUGUGCAAUGUUGUCAAAUAGCAUUUACUAAGGAUGAAUAAGGAAUGUCAAAAAUGUACUGAAUUGCCCAAAGUUUGCUAGCAAUAUGAAAAACAUCAUUGUUAAAACUGUGUACACGUGUACAUUGAAAUUGUUUCAAAUAAAAAUGUAUACCACCUGGU
rnacentral:lncRNA from 1 species